CAGUAGCCGCGGUAAUACAGAGGGUGCAAGCGUUAAUCGGAAUUACUGGGCGUAAAGCGCGCGUAGGUGGUUUGUUAAGUUGGAUGUGAAAGCCCCGGGCUCAACCUGGGAACUGCAUCCAAAACUGGCAAGCUAGAGUACGGUAGAGGGUGGUGGAAUUUCCUGUGUAGCGGUGAAAUGCGUAGAUAUAGGAAGGAACACCAGUGGCGAAGGCGACCACCUGGACUGAUACUGACACUGAGGUGCGAAAGCGUGGGGAGCAAACAGGAUUAGAUACCCCUGUAGUCCCUGUCUAUUAUAC
rnacentral:rRNA from 1 species